rnacentral:rRNA from 1 species
AUUGAACGCUGGCGGCAGGCCUAACACAUGCAAGUCGAGCGGUAGAGAGAAGCUUGCUUCUCUUGAGAGCGGCGGACGGGUGAGUAAUGCCUAGGAAUCUGCCUGGUAGUGGGGGAUAACAUUCGGAAACGGACGCUAAUACCGCAUACGUCCUACGGGAGAAAGCAGGGGACCUUCGGGCCUUGCGCUAUCAGAUGAGCCUAGGUCGGAUUAGCUAGUUGGUGGGGUAAUGGCUCACCAAGGCGACGAUCCGUAACUGGUCUGAGAGGAUGAUCAGUCACACGGGAAUUGGAACACGGUCCAGACCCUCAGGGGAGGCAGCAGGGGGGAAUAUGGGAAAAGGGGCGAAAGCCUGACCCAGCCAGGCCGGGGGUGGGAAGAAGGUCUUCGGUUUGUAAAGCACUUUAAGUUGGGGGGAAGGGAAGUAAAUUAAUACUUUGCUGUUUUGACGUUACCGACAGAAUAAGCACCGGCUAACUCUGU